UACGUAGGGCGCAAGCGUUGUCCGGAAUUAUUGGGCGUAAAGAGCUCGUAGGCGGCUUGUCACGUCGGGUGUGAAAGCCCGGGGCUUAACCCCGGGUCUGCAUUCGAUACGGGCUGGCUAGAGUGUGGUAGGGGAGAUCGGAAUUCCUGGUGUAGCGGUGAAAUGCGCAGAUAUCAGGAGGAACACCAAUGGCGAAGGCAGCUCGCUGGAACGGUACUGACGCUGAGGCGCGAAAGCGUGGGGAGCGAACAGG
rnacentral:rRNA from 1 species